GAUCAUGGCUCAGGAUGAACGCUGGCGGCGUGCCUAACACAUGCAAGUCGAGCGAAGCACUUGCGAAUGAUCUUUCGGGUGAUUUUGCUGGUGACUGAGCGGGCGGACGGGUGAAGGUAACGCGUGGGUAACCUGCCUCAUACAGGGGGAUAACAGUUAGAAAUGACUGCUAAUACCGCAUAAGCGCACAGUACCACAUGGUACGGUGUGAAAAACUCCGGUGGU
rnacentral:rRNA from 1 species